CGUGGGGCAGCGSWSUGUAGCAAUACAKGRUGCUGGCGACCGGCAAACGGGUGCGGAACACGUACGCAACCUUCCUUUAAGUGGGGGAUAGCCCAGGGAAACUUGGAUUAAUACCCCGUAAUAUUACGGAGUGGCAUCACUUUAUAAUUAUAGCAGCAAUGCGCUUGAAGAUGGGCGUGCGCCUGAUUAGGUAGUUGGCGGGGUAACGGCCCACCAAGCCUUCGAUCAGUAACUGGUGUGAGAGCACGACCAGUCACACGGGCACUGAGACACGGGCCCGACUCCUACGGGAGGCAGCAGUAAGGAAUAUUGGUCAAUGGACGAAAGUCUGAACCAGCCAUGCCGCGUGGAGGAUGAAGGUCCUCUGGAUUGUAAACUUCUUUUAUUUGGGAAGAAACCCACGAUUUCUAUUGUGGUUGACGGUACCAGAUGAAUARGCACCGGCUAACUCCGUGCCAGCAGCCGCGGUAAUACGGAGGGUGCAAGCGUUAUCCGGAUUCACUGGGUUUAAAGGGUGCGUAGGCGGGCAGGUAAGUCAGYGGUGAAAUCCCCGAGCUUAACUUGGGAACUGCCGUUGAUACUAUCUGUCUUGAAUACUAU
rnacentral:rRNA from 1 species